AUGAACGCUAGCGACAGGCCUAACACAUGCAAGUCGAGGGGCAGCACAAGGAGCAAUCUGAGGUGGCGACCGGCGCACGGGUGAGUAACACGUAUGCAACCUGCCUGUAAGCGGGGAAUAACCCGUUGAAAGACGGACUAAUACCGCAUAAUACUAAAUUACUGCAUGGUAAUUUAUUUAAACAUUUAUGGCUUACAGAUGGGCAUGCGCAUGAUUAGCUAGUUGGAGAGGUAACGGCUCCCCAAGGCAACGAUCAUUAGGGGUUCUGAGAGGAAGGUCCCCCACACUGGUACUGAGACACGGACCAGACUCCUACGGGAGGCAGCAGUGAGGAAUAUUGGUCAAUGGACGAGAGUCUGAACCAGCCAAGUCGCGUGCAGGAAGAAUGUCCUAAUGGAUUGUAAACUGCUUUUGCAGGGGAAUAAAGUGCAUCACGUGUGAUGUUUUGUAUGUACUCUGCGAAUAAGGAUCGGCUAACUCCGUGCCAGCAGCCGC
rnacentral:rRNA from 1 species